rnacentral:rRNA from 1 species
UUGACCUCGGAUCAGGCAGGGAUACCCGCUGAACUUAAGCAUAUCAAUAAGCGGAGAG